ensembl:rRNA 5S_rRNA 5S ribosomal RNA
AGACACUUCUUUACCACCCUGAACACAGCCGAUCUCGUCUGAUCUCGGAAGCUAAGCAGGGUCGGGCCUGGUCAGUACUUGGAUGGGAGACCGCCUGGGAAUACCAGGUGCUGUAAGCU